AGCAAAGUGUAAUGUAAAUGUAAUGAAGAAAUGGUCCGAAGUAUGUAGCGGUUGUACCAGAAUGUUAUCUGCAGUAGAUGCCUCAUUACUGAUUUUCUGGAGCUCAGCCAUCCAACUACACAGACUGUCAGCACACUCUCAACAGUUUAAGAGAACAUGUAAGUGUGACCAGCUCUAUUCAGUUAAGGAUACUCUCCUCUUCUUCACUAAAUGCUGUCACAUCCUACAAUCAUCAUCUGCAGAGAGAAACUGCCAUUCAAUCACACCAAAAUACAGAUAACGAUUAACUUAGAGGCAUCGUAGAGGAUUGUGAAGAUAUUUCACUGGAGCUUGGUCUUCAAUACACUAUUUUAUGUUCUAUUUUGUUUUACUUACUAAGCAUUUUUUUUUUUAUGUUCAAUGUUCAUUGUCAUUCAUUAAUGUAUUCUGCUAAUAACUGUUGUUAGAACACUGUCAUUUUUGCUACAAUUUCACAUCAUUUAAAAAAAAAAUUAAUAAAAGUACCUAAUUGACACGUUGUUGUUGAUGAUUUUAUGUAAAACUCUAGACACUUCAAGAUAUUAUAAGACCAGGCAGUCAGAGGGUAAAAACAAUAUUAAUAAAUAAAAUAUACAAAUAAUACUAAUAUUAAUGAUACUAACAUACUAAUAUUAAUGAAAAUCUAUCAUUAAAAAGGUUAUUUAUUACACCAUUAAGGUCCUAUAAAGCAUUUUCAAAGCAUGGUUCUAUAUGGAACCCUAUAAAAAAGGUUCUAUUUAGCACUGAAAAGGGUUCUGCUAUUGUUACAAGUCGAAGAACCCUUUUCUGGUACUGUUCAGAACCAUUUUUCUUAAGAGUGUAGCAUAUGAUAGAUUCAGAGCUUACAGCAUGGAGUAAAGGCCACAAAAUUUUAAUUUUAUUUUAAUCGGGUUUAAUUGAAACAGCCCUCCCAACACAUUAUUUAAUUCAUUUUAUAACACAACCUCAUAAAGGGACAGAACAGUGGUCAGAUUGAGAUCCAGUGGAUAUAAAUAACAGGAGCAUGAGCACAAUACACACUCACAUAAACACUGGUGUUGCUUAAAGAGAAACAAUAGAUGCUUUUAUUUGCAUGGCCUAAUGUCAUCUCUAUAUUUAAGCACCACAGGGUCUUAUACCACUAUACACACAGAGAUAAAGUAUCUGUUUCAGAACAAUAUUUACAAGGUUCUAUUAACAAGUCAAGCAAUGAACCCAGCCUGUGGGGACAUUUCUUCAAAAUGGUCAUGUUGCUUCUUGAUAAAAGAUUAAAGCUCUAUCGUGUUUGAAAAUAAAGUCACCAUCACUAAUCCCUACCCUAUACCUAACUGAUAGUGCUAACAAAAGCUCUUUGAUCGAGUGUUGUGAUUUGUGUUUCACGGGACACAUACCUGAGCACUCUAUAUUGCAAGUUCAGUGCUGUACCAGGUGAGCUUCCAAGCAAGUUUACUACAUCAGAAAAGCCAUGUGGAGCUAGUUAUGUGAUGCAAAUGUCAAAAUACAUUAGUUUACAAAUCACGCAUUAUGGUAAAAGUGUUUUGAGGUUCUAACAUAGUAUUGUCCAAGCAACCGUUUGAAAAUAAAGUUUUAUUUAAUAAUCUAAUCAAUAAUGCAUUUAAGAUUUGUGUGAAAAGGAACAAAUUAGUUGGUGUUUUACUGCCACUAGUGUUCAUUCGGAUGGAAACUGCAGUUAAAUGCAUGAAUAGGUAUGAUUUUAUACUUUUUUUCUUUUCUUUUUUUUUUUUUUACAAACAUUUAGGUAGAUUUUUCAAA